AACGAACGCUGGCGGCGUGGAUAAGACAUGCAAGUCGAGCGAUUAUCACGGGGUAGCAAUAUUCCGUGGUGAGAGCGGCGCAAGGGUGCGUAACACGUGGGCAAUCUGCCGUGAAGUUUGGGAUAAUCCCGCGAAAGCGGGACUAAUACCGGAUGUGGCCAUUGGGAGGCAUCUUCUGAUGGCUGAAGUUGGGGACCGCAAGGCCUGACGCUUCACGAUGAGCCCGCGGCCUAUCAGCUAGUUGGUGAGGUAACGGCCCACCAAGGCGAAGACGGGUAGCUGGUCUGAGAGGACGACCAGCCACACUGGAGCUGAGACACGGUCCAGACACCUACGGGUGGCAGCAGUCGAGAAUUUUUCACAAUGGGCGCAAGCCUGAUGGAGCGACGCCGCGUGGGGGAUGAAUGGCUUCGGCCCGUAAACCCCUGUCAUUUGCGAUCAACCCUCAUUAUUUAAAAGAUGAUGAGCUGAUGGUAGCGAAAGAGGAAGGGACGGCUAAC
rnacentral:rRNA from 1 species